rnacentral:rRNA from 1 species
GUGGGGAAUAUUGGGCAAUGGAGGCAACUCUGACCCAGCCAUGCCGCGUGCAGGAAGACGGUCCUCUGGAUUGUAAACUGCUUUUGAAUGGGAAGAAACGUAGCUUUGCGAAGCUAUUUGACGGUACUAUUAGAAUAAGCACCGGCUAACUCCGUGCCAGCAGCCGCGGUAAUACGGAGGGUGCAAGCGUUAUCCGGAUUUAUUGGGUUUAAAGGGUGCGUAGGCGGCUUUAUAAGUCUGGGGUUAAAGGCGGCAGCUUAACUGUACGCAUGCCCUGGAAACUGUGAAGCUUGAGUGACUUGGAGGUAGCUAGAAUUCCCUGUGUAGCGGUGAAAUGCAUAGAUACGGGGAGGAAUACCGAUUGCGAAGGCAUGUUACUACGAGUAAACUGACGCUGAUGCACGAAAGCGUGGGGAUCAAACAGGUUUAGAAACCCCGGUAGUCC